CUCAGCCUCCCGAGUAGCUGGGAUUACAUGCAUGUGCCAACACGCCCAGCUAAUUUUUGUAUUUUUAGUAGAGAUGGGGGUUUCAUCAUGUUAGCCAGGCUGGUCUCGAACUCCCAACCUCAGGUGAUCUGCCCACCUUGGGAUUUGCCUCCCAAAGUGUUGGGAUUAUAGGCGUGAGCCAGUACGCCCAGCCUAACAAAUUCUAAAAGAGCUGUAACACUGACAGUCUCUUCAUGGUCCCAGUUAUUUCCAAAAGGGUACGUUCUGCUCUGGUUCCUUCUGGUGGGUUAGCAACAGGGCAGAUCCACUAGAAUACAGCUCUCAAAAUCUACUGCACAUGGAAUCACCCAAAGUGCUUUACAAAAAUCCUGAUCCCAGGCCACAUUCCAGAUCACUUGCAUUUGAACCUCAGGUCCAAACUCAGGCAUCAGCAUUUAAAACAUUCCUCAGGUGACUCCCAACAUGCAGCUGAUUUGCCAGCCAGCCCUCUGCAGUCUGGAUCAAAGGUUCUCAACGUGAGGUCCCUGAACCAGCGGCUGCUUUGCUAAGAACUGGGAACUUGUGGGAAAGGCAGCGUCUCAGACCCCACCCCAGAUCUACUGAAUCAGAAACUCUGGGGGUGGGGCCAGCACUUUGUUUCAACAAGCCCUCCAGGAGACUCUGAGGCACUAGUCUGGUCCAGUGGGUCUCAAACUUGACUGCAACAAAUGGCCCAGAGAUCUUUUUGAAGUGUAGAGUCUGACUCAGCAGGUGUGGGUGGAGCUGAGAGGCCAGCAAGAUCCCAGGUGGGGCUGACGCUGCUCAUCCUCCUACCACAUUUUGAGUAGCAAGGAGCUACCAAGAGCAGCUACCAAGAGCAGACAGGGUUUCAUUCUCGUCUACUGGAAGCAACCUUAAUAGACAACUGAAAAACAAAACAAAACAACUGAGAUACCUGUUUCUGCCAGAAAACCCAGGCCAUUCACUGGUCAGCUGUUCCAAAACCAGAGUUAAGCUACUGCAGCUGUUCCCGCAUGCCUGACUGCAUUCCAGUAAAUAAUCCCACGUGGCAAGUCAGCUCACCUGGUUACUGCCAAAGCAUGUUCCCAGCUGGUGUGACUCAGAGGCACACCAGAAUUUCUUUAUUAUUAUUUGGCGAUAGGGUCUUGCUUUGCCACGCAGGCUGGAGUGCCGUGGUCCGAUCACAGUUCACUACAGCCUUGAACUCCUGGGCUCAAGUGAUCUUCCUGCCUUAGACUCCCAAGUAGCUGAGAUUAUAGGCACACGCCACCACACCCAGCUAAUUUAAAAAUAUUUUUGUAGAGACCAGGUCUCACUAUGUUGCCUGAUUUGGUAUCAAACUCCUGGCCUUAAGGGAUCCUCCUGCCUCGGCCUCCCAAAGUGCCAGGAUUAUAGGUGUGAGCCAUCAUGCCCAGCCAGAGCACCAGAAAUAGCUCCAAACUGUAGAAGGAGCCUCCCUGUAGCGCUGUCGGCUCCCCCCUUCCUGUGGAGUCUCCACAGCAGUCCCUCCCCACCAUGAGGCCAGAGAGGCUAACAGCUUUGCUGUCACCCAACAGAAAUGCUUUAAGUACUGACCACUGCUGGAGGGAAAGGCUACCGCUAACACUUGGGAUGUUUUCUGACAGCCUCUGAAACUUCUACGAACUGCUGAGGCAUAGGAUCCUCUCCUAAAAUUUCUCCCAGAUCUUAACGUCAGGCCCGUCUGGCCCUUUCAUGAGUAUGUGGGUUAUAGUCUCUGGCAGGCACUUGUGAAGAGUGUGACUGAUUGACACUUUUUUGCCUUGGUUGCUGGGAAGCUCAGAUCUCCCCUCUGCAUGUCCCUUGCCUAGGACCUCCCAUGGUGUACUUGGAGUUGGGACCUCACCUGGCUCUCCCUUAUCUUUCCAGCUGCCAUUUUUUCCCCUUUUUAACUUUCUUUCCCAUCCACUUAUUUGAAAUAUUAUCUCACGGUAACGAAAUAAAGUGUCUGUCACCUCCUGCUGUGUUGUCAUCUUGCAUGAGCUAUCUAAGUUCUCUGUUCUUCAGUUUCUGCAUCUGUAAAACGAUGAUAAUGACAGAGCCAACCUCGCUUUGAGGAUCACAUGAGUUAAUAAAGGCCUGGCACACAGUUAGCACUCAAUAAAUGUUAGUUAUGAUUUUUAUUA
rnacentral:antisense_RNA from 1 species